rnacentral:lncRNA from 10 species
UUCACAGCGAGCCCUGCUGGCACUGGGGGCCUGCAUUCCAGUUUUCCUCCCCAGCUGUGGGAUGCUGUUGGCGCCUUGGUGCCAGCCGCUGAGGUGAGCAGGUGGGUGAGGGGCUCCGUGAAGCUCUGGCAUCUGGUGUCCGGCCCAGGACUUGGGGGUGCUGGCCUCGCCGCCUGGCCGGGUCAUACAUAAGGGGUCGGUCAGCUCUGCCCCAGGCCAGGAUGCUGCUGGGCCCACAGCCGCCCCAGGACCCCCUCAGCCCAGGUGCCCUCCCUCAGUGCUCAGUUCCGGGGAUGACUGUGUCCCCCACCCCGUCACGCUGCUCAGCGAGCACCCUGUAAUCCCAUAUGGUAACUCAUGAAUCUACCCACUAAGAAACCACAACAUGUGAUUCCUCGAGGGAGGCUGGGGGGUAGUCGCGGAGUCGUGGCUGGGCCCAGCCGCGGACUCAGGUCUGUGAUGGGCUAACCUGUGCCCCCACAUCCGCAGGUGGGCGGCCUGACCCUAGACUCAGAGCGUGACUUCUUUGGAGACAGGGUCAUUGAAGGUGUGUGUGACGAUGAGGCCACGGGGUCACCCCUGACCAGUGUGACCAGUGUCCUUAUAAAAGGGGCGUGGACCCAGGCGGGCCUAGAGGGAUGGUGGCACAGAGGCAGGAGAAAAUGCCCACCAAAGCCCAGGAGGAGGCCUGGGACAGGCCCUUCCCGGCGCCUUCAGAGGGAGCCUGGCCCUGCCAGAUGCCUGGUCUCACGUCGGCCUCCAGGACUGCGAGACCUUCCUGCUGUGUGGGUGCCCAGUGCCAGCACUUGCUAAGGGUCCCCAGCCCCAGGAAAGCAGUGCCGUCCCCUGAGCCAAGUGGACCUCUCUCUGCUUCUGUGGCUUCUCUAUAUUUAGUUAUCAUGUUUCAAAGGCUUAUCAAAUCCCUGGGCAUAAAACGUUUUACGAAUCUGUCUAAAUAACGUUCCAAGGUGUCUCAUACUCGACGGAAUCUUGGACGGUGCUGCCCCUUGCAGGUGGCUGGGACUGCCUGGGUACAGCCUCUCCUUGGUUUUCAGCUUGGCUCUGCCUUCACCCCACAUGGGGUUCCGUCUGGCCCUAGCGGGGAGGGUGCUUGGCUCGGGCAGUGGGCUGGGCGGCCCCUGGCCCAGGACGGCUCUGGAGAAUAAGGAGGCCACCACAGGCCGGUAGGCCUGAGACCUCUGCCCCUUCUGAGGCCGCGGGGUUGAGCAGCUGAGCAGCUGACUCUCCCAUGGUCAGUGAGGGCUCAGCAUUUUCUCUUCUGGUUGAAAUAGAAACUGGGAAGUUGGAGGCCAAGAUUGAGGGGCAGGCGGAGGUGGUUCUCCUGCCAAGCUUCCUAAACGGCAGAAGCAGCAGAAGCAGCUAGGGUUAGUGUUGGCUUCUCUCUCUCUCUCUCUCUCUCUCUCUCUCUCUCUCUCUGUGUCUCUCUGUCUCUCUCUGUCUCUCUCUCUCUGUGUCUCUCUCUCUCUGUCUCUGUCUCUCUGUCUCUCGGUCUCUCUGUCUCUGUCUCUCUGUCUCUGUCUCUCUCUCUCUGUCUCUCUCUCUCUCUCUCUCAUUUAUUUCUAGAGCAUUUACAAAUUAAUUUUCCUGGUCUAAACCGGGAGGGGCUGCCAUGAUAAAAUGAAGCUGUUUGGUGUUCCAUGUCGAUCUCCCUGAGACAAUGCACUCCUGAGCCUGCUGGGCCCUGCCUCACAGCUGAGUCCUGGUCAGGGCCCUGCCCCUUCUUCCUCUCCCUUGGCCCUGGUUCCACAGAGACCUAUUUCUCCAGGGCAUCCAGGAAGCACCUACGGUGAUGGGGGAUUGCAUUUCAGCAGCAAUCCAUGUGUGAACAUUAAAACGAUCUCCUUAAAUAUUCAUGGUGACCAUGACCUCAUCUGGCUGCCUCGGGCCAGGGCUGGGUGCAGGUCAGGGAAGGGGGCUCAGGCCCUGAGACCCCAGCCUGGUCCCCAGCAAUACAGCUCCCCUCUGUCCUCUCCUCUCUGAGUCAACCCCUCCUGAGAGCUCCGAUGUCUCCUCUCUGGGGUGGCAGAGGUGGGGGCUGCUUUCCAAGCAAAGAAAUGCUCUGGGGCCACGUGGGAAUAAAUAUUUCAUGGGAGAGCAGACCUAGCCAGUAAAAAAUUAAGCAGCUUUACAUCAUCAGAGAGAGAAAGAAAGGGUUGCCUCAUGUUAUGAGUCUGCUGGUGUCCUUAGGACAGAGACAGGGAGACUGAGGUUUUGGGGUAAAUUAUUUAGGGUGUUGUAGGCUGGUCUAGGAAUGUUAAGCUGAAAUGAGACCGGCCCUGGAAGACGACAGGGGGAGCUGGGGUAAGAAGUGCUGCCUUAUGGAAGGCGUGGCGUGCAGAGACGCUGGCCACGAGGAACCCUUUCCCCGUGCACCUGCGCAGUAGCGCCUGCCUCGCGGGAGGCCCCACAGAUGUUGUUGAAUAAAGGGGCAGUGAGUCAGUGAGGCCAUUUCAGCCAUUUUUCUGUUGCCGCCUCACUCUGGAUUUAUGAAAGUACUUGCUAAUCGACGAUCGUCUUCGCCCGGCAUGCUGCAAAUUCACGUUUAUAUGCCCCCUGCCUCCCCCAAAUCAGCUACGGCAGAGUCAGGGGCAGGGACGGGUGGGCAUGGCCGGGCAGCUGCUCGGCUGCGUCACGCCGGGGGUGGCUGGAGCUGAUUCGGAAGCAGUGAAAUGUGGGCCCGCGUGGCUUCCCUGGAAAGAAAACAGGUCCUUGCCUAGAAAUUCAGUGGGUGACCUAAGAUGAUUGAGGGCUGUGUCCAUGUAAAUUUUUCAGUAAGGUGAGGGGCCAGUUUGUCAGUAAACUCCCUGGUGCUGUAAUUAGGGGGCUAUGUUCAGGAACUGGCUUCCUAAUGUGCAUUGAGGGCAGUGCUGACGCAGCCCAUGUACAUGCUAAAUACACGUGGGAGUGUUUGUGAAGAGACAGGCCUGCACAACACAGGGGACCUGACACUGAGCAUCCAUGUGGCCCUUUCUGGUACCCAGAACUGUGCACCCCCCUGUGCAGCAUCUCACAGGACUAAACAGACAGUAACACAACCCCGAACAGACAGUAAAAACCCGGAACAGAGAGGAACAACCCUGAACAGACAGUAACAACCCGGAACAGAGAGGAAGAACCCCAAACAGGCAGUAACAACCCCCAACAGGCAGUAACAACCCCGAACAGAGAGUAACAACCCUGAACAGAGAGGAACAACCCCGAACUGAGAGGAACAACCCUGAACAGACACUAACAACCCAGAACCAGGCAGUUACAAGCCUGAACAGACAGUAACAACCGGGAACAGACAGUAACAACCCUGAACAGACAGUAAAAACCCGGAACAGAGAGGAAGAACCCCAAACAGGCAGUAACAACCCCCAACAGGCAGUAACAACCCCGAACAGAGAGGAACAAUCCCAAACAGGCAGUAACAACCCCGAACAGAGAGGAACAACCCCGAACUGAGAGGAACAACCCCAAACAGGCAGGAACAACCCUGAACAGACACUAACAACCCAGAACCAGGCAGUUACAAGCCUGAACAGACAGUAACAACCGGGAACAGACAGUAACAACCCUGAACAGACAGUAAAAACCCGGAACAGAGAGGAAGAACCCCAAACAGGCAGUAACAACCCCCAACAGGCAGUAACAACCCCAAACAGAGAGGAACAAUCCCAAACAGGCAGUAACAACCCCGAACAGAGAGGAAGAAUCCCAAACAGGCAGUAACAACCCUGAACAGACAGUAAAAACCCCGGAACAGGGAGGAACAACCCCAAACAGGCAGGAACAACCCCAAACAGGCAGUAACAACCCUGAACAGAGAGUAACAACCCCGAACAGACAGUAACAACCCCGAACAGGCAGUAACAACCCCAAACAGAGAGGAACAACCCUGAACAGACAGUAACAACCCUGAACAGACAGUAAAACCCCAGAACAGAGAGGAACGAACCCAAACAGGCAGGAACAACCCUGAACAGGCAGUAACAACCCUGAACAGAGAGUAACAACCCUGAACAGACAGUAACAACCCAGAACAGGGAGGAACAACCCGGAACAGAGAGGAACAACCCCAAACAGGCAGGAACAACCCCAAACAGGCAGUAACAACCCCGAACAGAGAGUAACAACCCCGAACAGACAGUAACAACCACGAACAGGCAGUAACAACCCCGAACAGAGAGGAACAACCCUGAACAGAGAGUAACAACCCCAAACAGGCAGUAACAACCCCGAACAGGCAGUAACAACCCCGAACAGAGAGGAACAACCCCGAACAGGCAGUAACAACCCCGAACAGAAAGGAACAACCCCAAAAAGAGAGGAACAACACCAAACAGAGAGGAACAACCCCGAACAGGCAGGAACAAUCCCGAACAGGCAGGAACAUCCCGAACAGUCAGGAACAACCCCAAACAGAGAGGAACAACCCUGAACAGGCAGGAACAACCCCGAACAGGCAGGAACAACCCCAAACAGGCAGGAACAACCCCAAACAGAGAGUAACAACCCCGAACAGGCAGUAACAACCCCAAACAGAGAGGAACAACCCCAAACAGAGAGGAACAACCCCGAACAGACAGUAACAACCCGGAACAGAGAGUAACAACCCAAAACAGGCAGUAACAAUCCCGAACAGGCAGUAACAACCCCGAACAGACAGUAACAGCCCUGAACAGAGUGUAACAACCCCGAACAGAGAGGAACAACACCGAACAGGCAGUAACAACCCCGAACAGAGAGUAACAACCCCGAACAGAGAGGAACAACCCCAAAUAGUCAGUAACAAUCCCGAACAGGCAGUAACAACUCCGAACAGAGAGUAACAACCCCGAACAGAAAGUAACAACCCCGAACAGAGAGUAACAACCCCGAACAGGCAGUAACAAUCCGGAACAGAGAGUAACAACCUGGAACAGGCAGUAACAACUCGGAACAGGCAGUAACAGCCCUGAACAGGCAGUAACAACCCGGAACAGAGAGUAACAACCCUGAGCAGGCAGUAACAACCCGGAACAGGCAGUAACAACCCCAGCUAAACCAAUAGAACCGGCCUGGCAGCCACUCCUGUUCCAGUGCAGCACUCCACCAUGCAGAGGGGUCGGAGAAGCAGUUGUAGGUCACAGCAAGGAGUGGGCCGUGGGGAUCAUGGCCAGGUCGUGAAAUCCAAGUGGCACCCGCCAUGGCACCAGCCAGAACAGGUCCCCUCCUUUCCAAAGGGCAGAGCUGGGGCUGGCCCUGGAGAUGCUGGGGUCAGCAAGGGCUGGGGCUGCGCUCCCUCCUGGGUCUGUGUCAAAAGCAGCCAGCACCGAAGCCUGUCCACAUCGGCCAGGCCCUGUGCAAGCCGCGCUUCCCAGCAGACGGCACGGAAUUGCUGGUGAGAGUGGACGCUGGGCCGGAACAGAGCGGCGCUUCCUG